UGGGGGACUCUUGUGAGGUGUAGGUGUGGGAGUUCGAUUUUAAUUUUUUUUUUAUGGGGUAUGCCCGUUGUAUUGUGUAUUGGUUUCCAAGAGAUUUUCUCUUUGUUUUGCUUUUGUCUUGUUUAUUGCUGUAGAUAUUAUUUAGGUUUAGUGAGGUAACUGAGUUUUUUGGUUGUGUAUUGAAAUUUCGGUAAGUGUGAU
rnacentral:lncRNA from 1 species